AAAAAAAAAAAAAAAAAAAAAGGAGGGUAAAGAGAGGGGAAAGAUCUUUAGAACAGGCAAAGAACCCCCGGGCUCCCCAAAAGCCAGUAUUAGCAGGGCUGGGUGCGCGUCGGCGCCUCUCGCUGAGGGGAAGGCAGAUCACGCUAUUUGAGCAGAACAACAAGUUUGGAAAGACCAAUAUCUCUACGCUGCCACCGAUUUCUACGGCUUUAUUUAUUUAUUUAGUUUUAUCUCCCUUCUCCUCACGCUUCCCGUCUUCACCGCGACUGUUUUAUUUACCCAGCCACUGUCUUCGCAGAGGCAACACAGCGCCCCGUGUUUUGGGUGGCGGCGGCUGUGCCAUCCCCCGUGUUUUCCUGCCCCAUUGGGUCAGAGCCGCGGAGGAGGACAGGGUCACACCGCCGAAACGCGGGAUGGAGCGCCCUCUUUUUAUAAGACUUGGGCUUUGGGGGAAUUCUGUAAUGUGCAGUGAUUUCAGGAAGGACAAUGCAAUCAUUAAUCAUCCCCUCGCCUUUUGGUUUGGAUACACAUUUGCAAAACAGAAAGGCAAGAAAACAAUGGUGAUAGCGCUAGAUCUUUGUAUAUUUAUAUAGGGAUAAAGAUAUAUGUGUUACAUCCAUCAGAUACAAACUUCAUAUGCAACUUAGCUCCGGUGUAACAUCGAUUAACAUUCUGUUCUUACAUUCAUCGUUGUCAAUGUCAGAAUGAAAAAAAAUUGCAUGCGGUAGGCAGCUGAUAAUUUUAAUUUAAAAAAAGUUUUAUUACGAAACUAGUUUGUAUAAAAUAGGGUUAUACAGGACCUUUGUAAGUUUGUAAUAAAACAGUACGAAAAGGCAGUGGUGGUGGGGUUGUUUGUUUGUUUGCUUGUCUGUUUUUUCUUUUAUUCCCCCCCCCUUUUUUUUUUUUCCUCAAAACAGCAUAUGAAAACAAAUGGCUACCGUUUUGUGUUUGGACAAUAGCUGCAUAAACUUUGUUCACUUUGAACAUUGUUUAAUGACAUUAUUAAUACAUUAACAAAGUUUCUAUAAAGUAAGACACAUUGGUGCUAAAGUACAUCUGGAGGAAAUCCAAGUCCUUUACAAAACCACAUACAAAAAUGGCAGUUGUAAGGUAACGUUGACUACGAGUCUAAACAUGAAGAGGUAAUAACCAUUACAUAUUAAAAAAAGUAUCAAGAUAUACAGAUUUUAAACCAUUUGUACAAAACCUCUAUAAAUCUCUCUCUCUCUUAUGUACAAAAAUAGCUUAAUAUAUCCCCAACCGGGUUAGGAUAGAUACAAAUAGAUUUUCUUAUCAUAAAAAAAUUCACCAAAAAAAAAAAAGAUAAAAAGAU